rnacentral:rRNA from 1 species
AUUGAACGCUGGCGGCAUGCUUUACACAUGCAAGUCGAACGGUAACAGGCCUUCGGGUGCUGACGAGUGGCGAACGGGUGAGUAAUGCAUCGGAACGUGCCCAAUCGUGGGGGAUAACGUAGCGAAAGUUACGCUAAUACCGCAUAAGCCCUGAGGGGGAAAGUGGGGGACCGCAAGGCCUCACGCGAAUGGAGCGGCCGAUGUCAGAUUAGCUAGUUGGUGGGGUAAAGGCUCACCAAGGCGACGAUCUGUAGCGGGUCUGAGAGGAUGAUCCGCCACACUGGGACUGAGACACGGCCCAGACUCCUACGGGAGGCAGCAGUGGGGAAUUUUGGACAAUGGGCGCAAGCCUGAUCCAGCCAUGCCGCGUGCGGGACGAAGGCCUUCGGUUGUAAACCGCUUUCAGCUGGAAGAAAUACGCUGUUUUUAAUACGGACAGUGGAUGACGGUACCGGAAGAAGAAGCACCGGCUAACUACGUAGCCAGCAGCCGCGGUAAA